rnacentral:misc_RNA from 1 species
GGGGAAGAAAGCUAUGUCGACUACAUUGCCUCAAGAAGCUCGACGUUUUGGAGAUCUAAGGGGGGUGCAAUGGCGUAUUGAUUUGGGUAUUUUGCCUUCUUCCCCUGAUUCAUCCAUCCAUGAUCUUCGCCGCAGCACAGCCGAUUGUCGUAGGAGGUAUGCUUCUUUGAGGCGGCAGCUUCUGAUUGAUCUACAUGUUCCGAAAGAUGGAAGUAAUUCUCUUGAUCUUGUCAUGGACAAUCCACUCUC